rnacentral:rRNA from 1 species
AGUGGGGAAUAUUGCACAAUGGAGGGAACUCUGAUGCAGCGAUGCCGCGUGAGGGAAGAAGGUUUUCGGAGUUGUAAACCUCUGUCUUCGGGGACGAUAGUGACGGUACCCGAGGAGGAAGCUCCGGCUAACUACGUGCC